rfam:Trichobilharzia regenti genome assembly, scaffold: TRE_scaffold0065746
ACCCAGUUGACGAGUCCCAAAUAGGACGAAAUUCGCCUUAUCCUGGAU